UACAGAGGGAGCUAGCGUUGUUCGGAAUUACUGGGCGUAAAGCGCGCGUAGGCGGCUUUGUAAGUUAGAGGUGAAAGCCCGGAGCUCAACUCCGGAACUGCCUUUAAAACUGCAUCGCUUGAAUCCAGGAGAGGUGAGUGGAAUUCCGAGUGUAGAGGUGAAAUUCGUAGAUAUUCGGAAGAACACCAGUGGCGAAGGCGGCUCACUGGACUGGUAUUGACGCUGAGGUGGCGAAAAGCGUGGGGAGCAAACAGG
rnacentral:rRNA from 1 species